rnacentral:rRNA from 1 species
GAUGAACGCUGACAGAAUGCUUAACACAUGCAAGUCUUUGGCGAAGCUGUGCUUGCACAGCCUAGCCAAGGCGGACGGGUGAGUAACGCGUAAGGAACUUGCCCUGCGGUCAGGGAUAACAGACGGAAACGACUGAUAAGACCUGGUAAAGUCAGGCGGACUCAUGUCCAGCCUGAUGAAAAGAGAUGCUGCAGGAGAGCCUUGCGUCCUAUUAGCUUGUUGGUGGGGUAACGGCCCACCAAGGCGAUGAUAGGUAGCCGGCCUGAGAGGGUGGACGGCCACAAGGGGACUGAGAUACGGCCCUUACUCCUACGGGAGGCAGCAGUGGGGAAUAUUGGACAAUGGGGGCAACCCUGAUCCAGCAAUUCUGUGUGCACGAUGAAGGUUUUCGGAUUGUAAAGUGCUUUCAGCAGGGAAGAAAAAAAUGACGGUACCUGCAGAAGAAGCGACGGCUAAAUACGUG